rnacentral:tRNA from 1 species
CCUGUAGCUCAGCUGGAUAGAGCAACGGCCUUCUAAGCCGUGUGUCGGGGGUUCGAGUCCCUCCAGGC